rnacentral:tRNA from 1 species
GCCGGCGUAGCUCAGAGGCCAGAGCACCGCCCUUGUAAGGCGACGCGCGCCGGUUCGAUCCCGGCCGCCGGCU